UCUGCUGGGUCCUCACUGCCUUUAUCACAGUUGUCUUUAUACUAAAGUAUACUUUGUGCUGAAAUGACUGGCUUUUUUUGUCUGCUUUUCAAACUGACUCUGCAGAAAUGGAAACUUCCUCAUUUUUAUUUUAAUCUCAAGCACCAGCGGAAUGUCUAAUACAAGUAGGGAUUUGUCAUAUGUUUAAGAACUAAAAGAAUGAAUGAACAGAGACUGUCUUAGUCUUCUCAAGUUGCUAUAAGAAAAUACCAUAGACUGGGCAGCUUAAACAGCAGAAAUUUAUACCUUGAAGUUCUGGAGGCUCAGAAGUCCAAGAUCAAGGUGCCAGGAAGAACACAGUGUUUCCUCCAGCCCUGUCCCUGCUCCUCACUUCCGGCCCCAGGAAGCAGCCAGAUGACAAGAGGCCACUGGGUAAACGUCUCUUGUUCUCUGAAGAAUGUUAGACUGUGAGGAUGUACCUCUGAGGUUGUGGGAGGACGAAAUGAAGAAGUACAAUGGCUGGACAGCAUAAGCACUCAGUCCAUCGCCGGAAAGGGUGCGUCACCGAACUCUGGAUGCUGCCAUCUUGUCAGGCUAGAGAUGGGAAGUGAGGCACAGGCCCUGCUUGCUCUCAGAUCCAGCACUGAAGGGGAGAGCAAUCACCUCCUCCACACCCUGGGCUCAGCUGGGCAGGGAGUGAGGAGGUACAAUCUGACUCUAUGUCCCACAAGUCGCGAUGUGGCAACUGGAAAUGUUUACUGAAAAUGGUAACCACACAACAACUUUGUAAGAAAUGAACAAUAAAAUGUUCUACUUGUCUGGACAAAAAAGAGCAAUUAAGGUUGAGAUAGGAAGCCAGCUUUUAUGGUCGUGGAAAGCACAGGCUCUGGAGUCAGAUUGACUGGAUUCUAAACUGGGCUUCUCCAUUUUCCAACGAGUGAACUGGGGUAAAAUGGGACCAGAUUUGUCAUCAGAUCCAAGAGGCAAACACUGCUUCGCAGACGUACAGUGGCAACUAUACUGUGCACUUGCACAUGAGAUGGCCCUCUACCUGUUUUGGCAACCACAAGACAGACCCUUUAUAUACAACCCUGGGGAGUCCUCCCUUCAGGACAUCUUUCCAUUGAAAUACAGAGAUGAUGACUUCAGCCACUGUGGUGAAGUCUCAAUGGAGGCCAUUCAGGUGGGAGAAGAGAGGAGCUUGGACCAGCAUGGUGGAUGUGGAAAUGCAGACAGGAACUCACGGGGUAUUUGGAAUAGAAUCUGUAGAACUCGGUGAUGGUUGAACUACAGGGUAAGAAGGGAAAACAAUGACUGAAAGAAACGUCUGACCUGAGCAUCCAGGCUUCGUACUGAGAAGGGGAGCCUGGAGGAAGCUCCGGACAUCAAGAGCUCUAGUUGUGUCUGGGAUGCCCAGCAGACAGCAGGGUACUUGGAUCUGGAGUUUAGAGUAGCAGUCCAAGCUAGAGAUGCACAUGUGGGCAUUCACAGCCCUGUAUUGUGGUGAAUGCAUGCCUGAAUGAGUAAAGCGUUACUAAGAUUGGAACUCAGAUUUGUCUAACUGAACAGUUAAUAUUUUAUAUACUAUUCAGUCACCCUCCAAUGAACUAAAUUCAGUAAAAGGGUGACUCUUCCAGUAUCCAGAGACUAAGUCCAAGGCAAAAGGUGGUACCUCCCAGAUCAAGACAACAGCCUGGAUUCUCAGAAGUCUUGAGAACAGGCAGAACCCAAGAGUCUCCAGAGUCAGGGACUCUGGCAUAAGAUCUGGAGGUACAUAGGAAGAAGAAGAAUCCUGGGGAGUGUAGGAUCCCAUAACAUUCCCACACUGCACUAGACCAAAACUCUCCAGAGUAGACUUUCAUAAGUAUGUACAGUACUCAGUAUAUUAGUAAGGCUGGGCUAAACUAGAUGGCAAGAACAAACAACGCCUCCAUCUCAAUGACAUAACUCCACCAAGUGCCAUAGGGGUCAGGCACCAUUGGAGAAGUUUUCCAAGAGCACUUCCUGGAUCAGGACUAUCUGCCCCCUCCCAACAGUGAUAUCCUGAUGGUCUUGAAAGUGUGGAGAAUUCACAGCUGCCCCUGACAACUUUGAACUGGAAGCCACACAAAUGUCUGCCACUCCCAGCCUAAGGACCUGGCGUGUGGCCCCAGCCCAGCUGCAGAGGAGACCCGGUGAUGGAGAGGAGCCUGUGGAGGCUUCAUGAAGAGUGACUGUCCCUGCCUCGUGAGCAGGUGCACAUGGUCUUUCCUUCUUCCAACGGGAGAAGUGAUGAGACAGGAUUGGGAGAUCCAAGUGGGAGACGAUUGGAGAGGGUCAAGGCUGGGGAGGAUGGCAUUCAAUCAACCUUUGACCGAGAGCUAGGAUCAGAAAUCUGUGACUGGAACCAUGUCUGUUUCUAGUCACAGGGAUUCCAUUUUCUCCCAUUCUCUACAUGUGCUACUCAUUGGAAAAUGCUGCUACUUCUGUGACCUGGAGGAGAGGUUAAAGUGAUUUACUCUGUCACAGCAUGAGGUCUGUGCCCUCUCGUGCCUGCUACCACCCAGGAUCCAUGUGGAGGAGAGAGCUGGGAGGGUGGGACAAGACUGCCCUGACUGAGCCGAAUCCUGAGAGGCCACGUUCAGGGAACUUCCCACAGGCCCAAACCUUCCUAAGCCAGGAUCAUGGUCUCUGCCAGUGAGUUUCUGUAUCCUUCCAGCAUAGUGAUCUUAUCGGGGCAGAUUAAAAAUGAGACUGGGCCCAUAAAACAUGCAUUAUGGUCUCUCAAAGCCUCAUAAAGCCAGAUGAAUGCCUUGCUCCAAAGGUCCUUACACGGAGUUUACACCUCUCUCCCUCUCCAUAAUGGAAUUGUCAACGACAGAUUAUUGAAGUUAAAAAAAAAAUUAGUUAACUUGUCAAGUUCAACCCACUUUGAAUCAUUUGGCCUCAUGGAUUCCCUGGAGUAAAGUGGAUCGUGCCAGAAGAUACCUGUUUUUCCUUGGCCCUAAAUAGCUCCUCCACAUUUUCCAUGAGGCUUGGAGCAAAGGCACAGAAAGAAAUCUUAGGGACAGCUCUUCCUUUCUGGGCGGUUCCAUCUCCUCAUCCCACCUUCCCACUGGUACCUAAGUCUGCAGCCCCAAAACAAAGUGUUUCAAUUCAGGCAGAUACCAGGCUUCUUAUGAGUCUAUUCCCAGGAUUUCAGAUCCUCUCCUGAGAAUCAGCCUUGACAGGAAGAAGAGAGAGCUGCUAGACAUUGGGCAGAUUUUCUGUUCCUCUAUCUCUGACCACCCCCGGCCAAGGGUAAGUUACCCACACAUUGCAGCCUUGCCUUUCUGUUCUCAGGCAGGAAGGAUUGAAGGUGCUGGAGUGGAGCGACGAACCCGGCUCGUGGCAUGCUCUGACUCUAGUCAAGCUGCCACCUCGUGCAAGUGACUCUGUUCCCAGAUCCCCUGCACCCAAGUCCUUGUCUUGCUACUGUGUCCUCUGAGAGUGGAGAUUAUCGAGGGGAUGGGAAUACUGACUGGGCUGAAUCCAAGCCAGCCACGGGG